rnacentral:rRNA from 1 species
CUUCAGAGGAGGGGCCGGUUGGAGGUACAGCAGAGGUGAUGCACCAGAGGGCAAAAUUGGUUGGGUCGGUGCUUUAAAAGAUGUUCUUGCGUCUCCUUCGUCUCGAUCUGGCCUGGCUCUCCGUACCGCUACCGCGAGGUGCCCGUGCCCUCCUCCCCGUCCGAGCGCCGCCGCGACACCGAGCAGCACCACCGGUGCCGCUCGCACCGCAGCCGCGCCAAGCACCACCUCUUCUUGUCGUAGUUCCACGACAGCGGCGUGAGCGAUGCCCCGGCGGUGCUCCGGCGGUAGCGGUUGAUGCCGCAGGGGCUGAUGCCGCCGUGCGACUGGCCGCACCACGACAUGGGCCGCCUGCGCCCCGUCCGGUUGCCCACGUUCGGCAAGCCCCGCUGCCGCAAGUUCAGCGCCAGGCCGGCCGGGCACCACGAGGACCACCUGGCGCCGCCGACGAUGAAGCGCGAGUUCUGCACCGUGCGCGUCGUCCGCCCGCGCCGCCGCCACGACCACCGGCUAUCGCACCUCCUCGGCGACGACUGGUACCUGUGGGGCCUCCUCCUCUGGGGGCUGUACCGGAAGGACCGGUUGUAGUGGCGGGGGAGGCGCGAGCAGAGGUUCGGGAAGCCGCUGCGCGAGGCGCGGCGGCGGAGGCUGAGGCCGCCGCGGCUCCACCACCAGGCGGAGCUGACCGCGCUCAGCUACGGCUUGGGCCUGCGCGCCCACCUCAUGCUCAAGACCUGGUUGUCGUUGCUGCUCACGCCCGGCGCCACGCUGCUCGUCCGCCGCAAGCACCGCCGCAAGGCCCCGGUGCGCGUCGACGACCUCUUCCGGCCGCUGCGCGAGAAGUGCGGCGUGAUGUAGUGCACCAAGACGGGGCUGCUCAUGGCCCCGUGCGCCGUCACGCGCAGCGUCACGUAGUUGGCGCCGGCGAUGACGCGCGGCCUGGGCCUCCCCCUGGACCCGCGGCCGAUGGCCCCGGCGCUGCACCACGACCUCUUGGAGGCCGUCGACACGCACGUGGCCCACCGGUUGCGGGCGUUGCGCAGCACCCGCACCACCCUGAAGCACCGGCUGAUGGCGCACGCCACGAGGUACGCCCUCUUCUCCAUGAGGGCGCCCACGCGGCUCCUCCACCACCGCAGCGACCCGGACGGCCGCCUCGACUAGCUGUUCACGUACCCGCUGGGGCUGCGGCUGCGGCUGUUGCUGCACGAGGCCUGCCUCGUCCAGCACGUCCAGCCCGUCCCCCUAGCUCCGCUGCAGUGGUAGGACGGGUGCGACCAGUAGUUGUUGCACGUCAUGGCCCCCUUCGACCUCUCGUGCCGGCAGGAGUUCCGCUAGACGCGGCCAAAGUUCCUCUGGUGGCUCGGGGCACACACGUACUGUGUUCUGUACCUCUGGCUGCUCACGGACGUGUUGUUGCCGCCGACGACCGCGCUGCUGUUCUGGUUGUAGUGGCGGACGUUCCUGUGCAUGUCCCCCUCCCACACGCUCACGGGCCGCCACCUGCCGCACGUCAUGCUCCCGUUGCCCAUGUUCCUCACGUUCGGGCAGCCGGGGCCGGCCACGCGGCGGUUGUUGCCGCCCACGACCUUCCUCUGUUCCGUGCCGUUCUGGAAGAGGCGGACGUUCCCGAGGCCCAGCGAGUCGCCGACGCUCACGGGCGGCCCCAAGUUCCCGCUGCCGGAGUGGACGCUUCUGCACCUGCUCACGUCGCUCUUCCACCGCACGUGGACGGGCCCGACGAGGACGUUCUUGUUGACCCCGCCCAUGGUGACGUCGACGCCGCCGCCGCCGUUGGUCCACAUGUAGGUCCGGCUCCUGUGGACGCACCCCUUCUCGCGCCGCCGCUACCCCACCUACCACUGCCGCGACCACGACAGCACGGAGCGGCCGCGGCCCGAGCGGCCCAAGCGGAAGAUGUUCAUGUCCGAGUCCGCCAUGUACCUGAGCCUCCACCGCCGCUAGUACAGCGUCAUGUACGGAGACCUCUCGGUCUCGUCGUCGCCGCUCUUGGCCGGCGACUCCCUCCUCCGGCACCUUCGUCGUAUCUAUCGGUCCGUCGACAUUCUAAAGUUCCAUCUUAAGUUUGUUUACCACUUAUGGUACACCGCGUGUACUUUCUCCAACGAAUAUCGAAAUGGACUGUCCUGUCUCCGUCCUCGAGAACGUAAAAGGAUGAACAACGGAAACAUCUGUUGACACGGUCUAUCUAGAGCUAUGCCUUUUGUAUUAUGCCAAACGUGUAUCGUCGAUACUUAGACGUGUAACGACAUGUUUUAAACUCUAUUUCUACAAGUGACGUCCGACCUGUUCUUAUCGACGACGACCAUGUCUAAACAAUAUCUCGACUUGUUCGUCUUGUGGUCCGGUAAAAGACUAAAACA